AUGUGUAGCGGUGAAAUGCGUAGAUAUAUGGAGGAACACCAGUGGCAAAGGCGGCUCUCUGGUCUGUAACUGACGCUGAGGCUCGANAGCGUGGGGAGCGAACAGGAUUAGAUACCCUGGUAGUCCACGCCGUAAACGAUGAGUGCUAAGUGUUGGAGGGUUUCCGCCCUUCAGUGCUGCAGCAAACGCAUUAAGCACUCCGCCUGGGGAGUACGACCGCAAGGUUGAAACUCAAAGGAAUUGACGGGGGCCCGCACAAGCGGUGGAGCAUGUGGUUUAAUUCGAAGCAACGCGAAGAACCUUACCAGGUCUUGACAUCCUUUGACCACUCUAGAGAUAGAGCUUCCCCUUCGGGGGCAAAGUGACAGGUGGUGCAUGGUUGUCGUCAGCUCGUGUCGUGAGAUGUUGGGUUAAGUCCCGCAACGAGCGCAACCCUUAUUGUUAGUUGCCAUCAUUUAGUUGGGCACUCUAGCGAGACUGCCGGUGACAAACCGGAGGAAGGUGGGGAUGACGUCAAAUCAUCAUGCCCCUUAUGACCUGGGCUACACACGUGCUACAAUGGGAAGUACAACGAGUUGCGAAGUCGCGAGGCUAAGCUAAUCUCUUAAAGCUUCUCUCAGUUCGGAUUGUAGGCUGCAACUCGCCUACAUGAAGCCGGAAUCGCUAGUAAUCGCGGAUCAGCACGCCGCGGUGAAUACGUUCCCGGGCCUUGCACACAC
rnacentral:rRNA from 1 species